GAAAAACAAGAAUCAUGAGUGCAAUGGCAAAUGGAAUGUGAAGGCCCUUUUGAUUGACAACUUAGGAAAAGAUGGAAUGGAACUCAAAUUUUGGUGGUCGGUCAAGUGUGUAGAGUUGAAAUCAUAUACACUUAGUUAGGCUCAACUUUAGCGCAAACUGUUGGUGACCAUGUUUUUCAGUUAGUAUUUUAGUUUGGAUUUAGAGUACACUUAUGUAUGAGUUAUUUAGCAAUGCUUAUUUAUGAGAUAUUGAAUGAUACUUAUCUACAUUAUAUUAACUAUAAUGUUAUUAAAUAUAUGUGUGUAUGUAUAUUAUAA